rnacentral:tRNA from 1 species
ACGUCAGUAGCACAGUGAUAGUGCUGCCGAAGCUUAAUCUAUAGUCGGUGGUUCGAUUCUACCUUGGUGAA